GACGAAGGGGGCUAGCGUUGUUCGGAAUUACUGGGCGUAAAGCGCGUGUAGGCGGUUGUUCAAGUCGGGUGUGAAAGCCUUGAGCUCAACUCAAGAAAUGCACUCGGUACUGGAUGACUAGAGGACUGGAGAGGAGACUGGAAUUUACGGUGUAGCGGUGAAAUGCGUAGAUAUCGUAAGGAAGACCAGUGGCGAAGGCGGGUCUCUGGACAGUUCCUGACGCUGAGGCACGAAGGUCAGGGGAGCAAACGGG
rnacentral:rRNA from 1 species